AGGAAAGUUUGAUCCUGGCUCAGGACGAACGCUGGCGGCGUGCCUAAUACAUGCAAGUCGAGCGGACAGAUGGGAGCUUGCUCCCUGAUGUUAGCGGCGGACGGGUGAGUAACACGUGGGUAACCUGCCUGUAAGACUGGGAUAACUCCGGGAAACCGGGGCUAAUACCGGAUGGUUGUUUGAACCGCAUGGUUCAAACAUAAAAGGUGGCUUCGGCUACCACUUACAGAUGGACCCGCGGCGCAUUAGCUAGUUGGUGAGGUAACGGCUCACCAAGGCAACGAUGCGUAGCCGACCUGAGAGGGUGAUCGGCCACACUGGGACUGAGACACGGCCCAGACUCCUACGGGAGGCAGCAGUAGGGAAUCUUCCGCAAUGGACGAAAGUCUGACGGAGCAACGCCGCGUGAGUGAUGAAGGUUUUCGGAUCGUAAAGCUCUGUUGUUAGGGAAGAACAAGUACCUUCGAAUA
rnacentral:rRNA from 1 species